rnacentral:rRNA from 1 species
CGGCUCCCCGUCAGGCUCAGGAGGAGGCGGAUGGGUUCCCGGCGGCGGGCGGAGGCCGACGAGGCUCCGGUUCGCCGUCGGUCAAUGCGGGCCUGCCGUCCACUCUGCACUUCUGCGGGGAGCCGGCCAACGGCAGUUGCCCCCGGCUCUGGAGGCGUUUUUCCGGGGGAGGUGGCCCCGCGCUCCGGCGCGGGGAGCGUACAGCCCCGGCGCCCGGCAGUCCGGGCGAUUUUUUUUUUUUUCCNNNCGAGAAAAAAAAGCAGGCGACUGAGGAGAGACGUUUUUGCGGUCCCUCGCACGUCGCGGCGCGGUCCUUUCCUUCCCUCUCCGCGUCACCCCUCGCGGGUGGCGGGGCAGGGGGCCGGGAGGGCUGGACCUCUCCCGUCGGGUCGGCGGCCGAGGCGGCCACUGCGCGUCAGUGGUCGUCGACGGUUUUCCGUCGCCUCCGGCGGGGGGCGGGUCACACCUCGCGCCGCGGUCG